rnacentral:lncRNA from 1 species
AUGGAUAGAGGAUGUUCUAAGAGGCUACUAGCUCUCCUUUGAACUGUGGUCGUCUCCCUGAGCCUAUGGGUUGGCGCCAAGGAUGGUUUGCUACUCAAAGACACAAGAUCACCUUGUACUGUCUAAGAUGGGAUUCACAGGAAUUCCUUCCUUUAAGUGAGAUCAAUGUUCUAGAGCUGAACAGAGAAAGCUAGAGACAAGACAACAAAGUUGACUGAAUAAUUCUUAGAUUGAAAGUUGAGAAAACAAGGCUGCAGCCCCCAUGUUCUUAAAGUGAAAAUCGAAAACCCUAAUGCUAAACCAAGGUGGUUUAAUUCUAAUUCUAAUCCUAAUUGUCUUUGGUUUAAAUUAAAUGAAAGCCCAAUAACCAAAACCCUUACAAAGUAAUUAAAUUAAACCAACAAGCUGGUUUAUCUUGAUCUCCUUGCCUUGAACCAAGGCCCACGGUUUUGGCUAUCUCCUGGAGCCUCUCCUCUUGUGCUCUCAGUCUUGAUCUGGUUACUGGUCCACUCCACAAGCUGGCUAGCUCAUUUGGUUCUUCUCUGCUCGAGUCUGGUUCUUCUCUGCUCAAGUCUGGCUCUUCUCUUCUCAAGUCUGGCUCUCCCUCAUCAGACUCACUCAGCUCUCCAAUGUCUCUACUCAUGGCUACACCAUCCCCUCCUCCUUUAAAAGGAUUUGACCUCAAAUCCAAAUCAUCUGCAAUAAAAGGAUCCAAGUCAGAAACAUUGAAAGUAGAACUGAUUGUGUAUUUCCCUUCAAGAUCAAUCUGGUAGGCAUUGUUGUUGAUUCUCUUCAGCACUUUGAAAGGUCCAUCUUUCCUUGGCAGCAACUUUGAUUUCCUCUCAACAGGAAACCUCUCUUUUCUCAUGUGAAUCCACACAAGAUCACCUGGUUCAAGUACUAGCUCCUUGCGCCCCUUGUUCUUCUGCCUCUCAUACAUCUUGGUCCUCUCCUCAAUGUUCUUCCUGACCUGUUCAUGCAAAGACAAAACAAACUCGGCCUUUUGCUUGCCAUCAAGGUUAGUUUGUUCUUUUAAAGGUAAAGCAAAUAAAUCAAGAGGAGACAAUGGGUUAAACCCAUAAACAACUUGAAAAGGAGAGAGUUUAGUAGCUGAAUGCACUGCUCUGUUAUAUGCAAACUCUACAUGUGGUAAACAAUCCUCCCAUGUCCUAAUGUUACUCUUAAUGAUGGCACGCAAAAGAGUAGACAAUGUCCUAUUGACUGAUUCAGUUUGACCAUCAGUUUGGGGAUGACAAGUAGUUGAAAACAAUAGCUUAGUUCCCAACUUUCCCCACAGAGUUUUCCAGAAAUAGCUAAGGAACUUAGUAUCUCUAUCAGAAACUAUAGUCCUAGGCAUACCAUGCAAUCUAACAACUUCUCUAAAGAAUAGAUCAGCUACCAAAGAUGCAUCAUCAGUUUUAUGACAAGGUAUGAAGUGAGCCAUCUUAGAAAAUCUAUCAACAACCACAAAGAUGCUAUCUCUUCCUUUCCUAGUUCUAGGCAAUCCUAAGACAAAGUCCAUAGAGAUAUCAAUCCAUGGUGCAGUAGGAAUAGGGAGAGGUGUAUACAAACCUGUUGGUUGGACCUUAGACUUGGCUUGCUUGCACACGACACACCUUGAGCACACACGCUCCACUUCUUUCUUCAUACUCGGCCAGUAGAAGUGCUCCUGCAAGGUGGAGAGUGUUUUGGCGACCCCAAAGUGUCCCAUCAGCCCUCCUGCGUGAGCUUCCCUAACAUACAAUUCUCUCAAAGAACCACUAGGAACACACAGGCGGUUAUCAUAGAAAAGAAAUCCUUUUACUUGAUAGAAUUUUCCACUAGCAUGUUUCUCAGAUUCUCUAAACACAUCUUUAAACUCAGGAUCAUUAGCAUAGCAAGAUUUGAUGUGUUCAAAUCCUAAGAGUUUAGUUUCCAUUGAAGAUAAAAGAGUAUACCUUCUGGAGAGUGCAUCAGCCACUACGUUCUCCUUACCUUUCUUGUAGUGAAUGACAUAAGGAAAGGUCUCAAUGAACUCCACCCACCUGGCGUGUCUCUUGUUCAGCUUCUGUUGCCCUUUGAGAUGUUUAAGGGAUUCAUGAUCUGUAUGGAUCACAAACUCCUUAGGCCACAAGUAAUGUUGCCACACUUGUAAAGCUCUCACCAAGGCAUACAGCUCCUUGUCAUAGGUAGGAUAGUUUAAGGUGGCGCCUCCUAGCUUCUCACUGAAAUAAGCUAUGGGUUUCUUAUCCUGCAUCAACACAGCUCCAAUUCCAAUACCAGAUGCAUCACAUUCAAUUUCAAAAGUCUUAGAAAAGUCAGGAAGUGCAAGUAAGGGAGCACUUGUUAACUUCUCUUUUAGCAUUUGAAAUGCCUCUUCUUGUGCUGGUCCCCAAGUGAAACCUACACUCUUCUUGACUACUUCAGUCAGGGGUGCUGCAACUGUACUGAAAUCUCUCACAAACCUCCGGUAGAAGCCAGCAAGUCCAUGAAAACUUCUGACCUCUCCAAUAGAUUUAGGAAUCGGCCACUCCCUGAUAGCCUUCACCUUUUCCUCAUCAACCUGUAUGCCCUGUGAAGUCACAACAAAACCUAAAAAGACAAGGUUAUCUGUGCCAAAAGAGCACUUCUUAUAGUUAGCAUACAGAUUUUCUUUUCUAAGCACAUCUAGAACUUGCUUCAAGUGAUUAACAUGUUCUUUCAUAGUCUUGCUGUAAAUCAGGAUAUCAUCAAAGUAAACAACUACAAAUCGUCCUAUCAAAGCUCUCAAGACAUGAUUCAUUAAUCUCAUGAAGGUACUAGGUGCAUUAGUAAGCCCAAAAGGCAUCACAAGCCAUUCAUACAAUCCUAGCUUAGUUUUAAAGGCAGUUUUCCACUCAUCUCCUUCUUUCAUUCUAAUCUGGUGGUAACCACUCUUUAAAUCAAUUUUAGAAAAGACACAUGAACCAUGUAACUCAUCUAGCAUAUCAUCUAAGCGAGGAAUAGGAUGUCUGUACUUAACUGUUAUGUUGUUGAUGGCUCUGCAGUCCACACACAUCCUCCAGCUUCCAUCUUUUUUUGGCACCAAGAGGACAGGUACAGCACAAGGACUCAUACUCUCCCUGAUAUGUCCCUUCUCCAUUAGCUCAUUGACUUGUUUCUGAAGCUCCUUAGUCUCCACAGGGUUGGUCCUGUAUGCUGGACGGUUUGGUAAAGUAGCUCCUGGUACAAAGUCAAUCUGGUGCUCUAUUCCCCUAAUAGGCGGCAGACCUAUGGGAUUGUCCUCUGGGAACACAUCUCUAUACUCCUGCAAAAGACACUCAAUCUCCUCUGGAAUCUCAGGAGCAGGGUUAGUAGUAGAGCUCAACAAUUCUUUGUAAACUACUAGUAUCAAAUUUGAUUGUUCAAUCACAGCAGUUUUGAUAUCUUUAGCAGUAGCAAAGAGGUUGAGUUUACUUACCUGGCUGGUCUCUUCAAGAAGCAAGGAUUUGCUGGCGGCCUUGGACUCUCCUCUCUUCAUUUUGAGAUGCAUCUGAUCCUGGUGUACCUCCUGAGGGGUCAUUGGCGCCAGGGUAACUUGUUUCUCCUUAUGGAUAAAAGUGUAUCUGUUGGUAAAGCCAUCAUGUACUGAUCUCUUAUCAUACUGCCAUGGACGUCCAAGAAGGAUGUGGCUAGCUUCCAGGGGUGCUACAUCACAAGUGAUCUCAUCCUGGUACUUUCCCACUGAUAGCAAUACCUUCACUUGCUUGGUGAUCUUUAAUCCUCCCUCAUCAUUGAUCCAUUGCAACAGAUAUGGCUUAGGAUGCUUGAACACUUGAAGACCCAACUUCUCCACCAACUCAGCACUUGCUACAUUAGUACAACUUCCUCCAUCAAUGAUCAAGCUACAAACCUUUUCUUGAAUCAAGCAUCUGGUGUGAAACAAGUUUUCCCUUUGCUCAUCUUCUUUGGGUUUAGGUUGAGCAUUGAGAAGUCUCCUGGUGACUAAUAGCUCUCCACGGACAGGGUACUCCACGCCUUCCUCAUCAGACUCUUGGCCGGCGUCCUCCUCUUCAGAUAUCACCUCCCCGUCGGCUAAGAUAGUCAUCACCUUCUUGUUGGUGCACUCAUUAGCAUAGUGACCAAAGCCAUGACACUUGAAACACUUAAUGUUCCUGGUCUUAGUAGGUGUGGCUACUCCUUUACCCUUGUCAUCUCUCUUGUUCUCCACUGAAGAAGACCCUUCUUUGGACUUAUCCCCUGGCUUAUCUUCCUUGGAGUAGGCCGGUUUUGAGGCAGGGGUGUAUGAAGACCGGGUAGAGCUCUUCCUCUUGUUCUGCUGCUCAAUCAAAAUAGCCUUAUGUAGCAGUUCAUCCAUGUCCUCAUACUCUUGUAGCUCCAACCUAUCUUGUAUAUCUCUGUUAAGACCUCCUUGGAAUCUAGCCAUAGUAGCUUCUACUUCUUCUUCUAAGUCAGCUUUCAACAUGAGUGUUUCCAUCUCCUGGUGAUAGUCCUCUACACUCUUAGAUCCUUGAGAAAGCCUUCUCAACUUCUGGUGUAGAUCUCUUCCAUAGUGAUUAGGAACAAAUCUCUUCUUCAUCACAGUUUUCAUCUCAAACCAUGAAGCUACCUGAGGCUCUCCAUUGCGUCUCCUGGUAGUAGCAAUCUGAUCCCACCAGCUAAUAGCAUAACCACAGAAUUCAGUAGCUGCUAGUCUCACUUUCCUCUCCUCAGUGAACUGUUGGCAGUUGAAAACCAGUUCAAUCUUCUUCUCCCACUCUAAGUAAGCAUCAGGAUCAUUCUUCCCAUGGAAUGGAGGGAUUCUAAGCUUGAGAUUGCCUAGGUUAUCAGUAGCUGGUCGCCUGCGGUUGUGAUUUCUACCAUGAUGACUAGCCUGAGAUCCAUCAUCACUUUCAUCAGCUGAAUCUUCUUGAUAAUGUUCUCCAUAAAUCCCACGACCCCUAAGCUCAACUCGUUGCCCUCUUAUAGGUCCAAUGCGUGCUCUCUGAACUCCAGCAGCAACCGCGUCCCUCUCUUGCCCUGCAUUAUCACCAGGUAAAGUUUCAUUAGCUUGUUGAACACGGUUGUAAGUGUUUUGCAUUCUUCUGGUUAUCUCAGCUAUCAUAGCCUCAAAUUGAACUUGGUUGAGGUUGAUUUGCUGGACAGCCGGUUCUCCUGAACUCUCAGGUUGCUUUCCAUCUCGCCUCUCUUCACUCAUUGUAACACAAAGCCAGGAACAAAAUUAUAUCUCUCUCUCACUCAAGUUUUCAAAUCGCCAAGUCUCAGCUCUUCCCACAAGUUCAGUUGAAAAACAAAGUUCUACACUUAAGAUCUAGAACUAAAACCCCAAUGAAUCAGAUAGGAAGUAUUAAGAGAUUUAGGCACCAGCUGACUUUACCACCCUGAGCUGGAUUUCUCCUCAGCUAGCUGGAUUACUCUUCAGCUAUAUAUAUAUAUUUUUUUUUUUGAUUUGGAUCAGAGAUCUCUUUUCUUUUUUUUUUUUUUUGAUUUGCAGGGUUGGCUCAGCUGGCUUACAACAGAUAGAAAGAUAAGAGAAGUGUUUGAUGGAAUGAAUGAUCUGAGUAGUCAAAUUGCAAACCCUAACCUUCAAGUGGCUCUGAUACCACUUGGUGCAGCCUGGGUAUGGCUUAAACUCUGGAUCACUUGAAGGUGGAUGGAUAGAGGAUGUUCUAAGAGGCUACUAGCUCUCCUUUGAACUGUGGUCGUCUCCCUGAGCCUAUGGGUUGGCGCCAAGGAUGGUUUGCUACUCAAAGACACAAGAUCACCUUGUAUUGUCUAAGAUGGGAUUCACAGGAAUUCCUUCCUUUAAGUGAGAUCAAUGUUCUAGAGCUGAACAGAGAAAGCUAGAGACAAGACAACAAAGUUGACUGAAUAAUUCUUAGAUUGAAAGUUGAGAAAACAAGGCUGCAGCCCCCAUGUUCUUAAAGUGAAAAUCGAAAACCCUAAUGCUAAACCAAGGUGGUUUACUUCUAAUUCUAAUCCUAAUUGUCUUUGGUUUAAAUUAAAUGAAAGCCCAAUAACCAAAACCCUUACAAAGUAAUUAAAUUAAACCAACAAGCUGGUUUAUCUUGAUCUCCUUGCCUUGAACCAAGGCCCACGGUUUUGGCUAUCUCCUGGAGCCUCUCCUCUUGUGCUCUCAGUCUUGAUCUGGUUACUGGUCCACUCCACAAGCUGGCUAGCUCAUUUGGUUCUUCUCUGCUCGAGUCUGGUUCUUCUCUGCUCAAGUCUGGCUCUUCUCUUCUCAAGUCUGGCUCUCCCUCAUCAGACUCACUCAGCUCUCCAAUGUCUCUACUCAUGGCUACACCAGUGAGAAGCUUGAUUUGGAUACAUAAAGUGGUGGAGAAUCAUCAGGAUGUUGAAUAAACCUCAUAGGAGUUGGGAUGAAGAAGUUAUCCCACUUUCAAAUCAGGUGAUUCCAGUUUCCCAUUUUGGGAAUAGCACAGCUUCUUCGUCCUUCCAAUCAAACCAGGAUGAAUCUCUUUGUGAGAAGCUUGAUUUGGAUACAUAAAGUGAUGGAGAAUCACCAGGAAGUUGAAUAAAUCUCAUAGGAGUUGGGAUGAAGAAGUUAUCCCACUUUCAAAUCAAGUGAUUCCAGUUUCCCAGUUUGGGAAUAGCACAGCUUCUUCG